rnacentral:tRNA from 1 species
GAAGGGGCUCCCCUGCUAAGGGAGUAUGUGGCUAAAAACUGCAUCGUGGGUUCGAAUCCCACCAUCUCCGCCA